CUUAAGUGUUUAGAUUUCUCCCACUGUCCCACUACUGUCUCUUAUACACAUCUAGAUGUGUAUAAAGAGACAGGCUGAUGGUUGGACUAGAUGAUCUUAGUGGUCUUUUUCAACCUUAAUGAUUCUAUUCUAUGAUUCUGUGACUUAAAGCUCCUUGCAGUCUCAGCAGUGGUGUACAGCUUUGUAAGGCGUCUGCCAGCAAUGUCCUGAGACCUCAGCCCAAAUGGGUUCUGCCCCACUACAGCAAAAAUAUCCCCACUGCUCCAGAAACUGCGCCCUCAGCAGCACGCAGCCGCCACCGAGGCGAAGGAGAUCGCCAUCGAUUCACCUCGCAUGCGCGCCUGCCAGGGUCUGCGGGGUGGGGACAGCGCGUCACGGAAGCGGGCGGGAUGGGGCGGGGCUGCGCGGCCCCACCGGGGCGGGGGCGGAGCGGAGGAGGCUCCGCUGCGGGGGGAAGGGCCGAGGCGGAGGCAGCGGCGGCUCCGGCGGAGCGGGUGGGGGAAGGGCUAGCGGCGGAGCUUCGGCGGCGGCAGGGAUGGAGCACCACCAGCCCGCCAGCCGCUACCAAGUGACUCCAGUGGAAGACAAACAACACCAAAAAGCAGAACUUGCUCUGGCAGGCCAGAAGUUCUGUUUACGCCAACAGGGUAGGCAUUUGCGAGAAGACAGUAUCAACACUUCAGUACCCCGUGAACAAAGUAGGUAGAUCAUCCUCUAGGGUGUCACCAGUUCACUUGAAAUCUGUAGGAACCCAGCUCUCCUCGAGCCUCUCCCUUCUUGUUUAAUUUUGGCUUAUGCUGGCUGGUAAAUUUAGAAGCUAUUCCUGGAGGCAGGGGAAGAAGGGGCCUAACAUGCUGCAUAGGUUUCAUUUCCAUAGAAACCAAGCUAAAAAAUAUUCAGAAGGGAACAGAAAAUGUCUGUUCGAGNAGUGUGGCAUAAAGUUGUUGCAUUAGAAUGACCUUGAUGCACUUAAGAAUGUCUGGCAGAUCUGUAGAGUAAAUUACAGGAUAAAUUGAAAUGUUUAGACCCUGUUUAUGAGUCAUACAAAAUAACUAUGCCUUUUCAGUGCACUACAGGUCAUAACAGGACUCCUUUGAAUAGAGCCUUUAGUAUGGAGUUUCUCUGUUUCUUAGCUAGUCUUUCUAUAGCGACAGAAUGAAUUGUUAAUGCUGCCUAUGAAGGAAAGAAAUCUUAGGUGCAUAUUCUCCCUCUAUAAUGUUACCUCUAUCAUUUGUAAAUGCUUCUGAAUCUCAAACCUGGAGAAAAGCAGCUUCCAAGGAACAAAGCAGAAGAGACAAAAUUAAUUUUUCCUGGUGAAGGCAAAAUGAGUACUGAGCAGUGAUGUGCCCCUUGACCAGUGGGUGUUGUGGAUCUUUGUGCAUCUGUAGUAUGGUCACAGUGCAAACUGUGCAGUGACAGGGAGGGAAAUAAAGUAACAGAGAAGUUAUUGAAGUGGAGGGUGAGAGGAGAGGAGGAAAGACGAUAACCAGCAGAACCCUAUUACCUGGGCUCUACUGCUUGCCCUGUUCGUAGACCAGAGCAGCACACACAUCCCAAAUACCUUUUGAUAUUUCAUGUACCAGGUGUUAACGCAAAAGGGUAGUAAUUUUCUGUUGUUUGUCUCAUUGCGAAUUUAAUUACAACUUUAUUUUAAAGUGAUUUUGUUGGCUGUAUCGGCUUCAGCACCAGACUUUUCUUGUGAAUGAUUGUACUUAAUUUAGAAGCAUGUUUCUAGCUCUUGGGCUAUUUUUCUGACCUGUUUUAUCUUUUUAGAAUCAAGUGUGUUGUCUUCUCGCAUGCCUUCUGUAUCCCUAAAUAUAUUAGGUUAUUUUGAAGUUGUUUUCUUUUCUGUGACCUUAACUACUGUGAAUAGAUUUGCAUAUUUCUCAGUUUACUGCUUUUUCUGGAUCGCUGAUUAGAUGUUAAAUGACCUAAUUGCUCAGUACCCAAAAACCUUCAGUAACCUCUAUCAGUUCUUUUCAAAGUGACCUUUCCUUAUAGUCUGUGCUUGUGAAUAGUGUGCGUAUGUGUAUAUAUAUAUAUAUGUACUUAGGCGCGAUAUGCUGAUGGAUGUGUAAACUUAUAUAAGCUUAUUUAUGCUUGUAUAGCUUAAGCUUGUACUUCAUGUCUAGAUAAAGCCUUUCCUAUUUAAGUUGUUAUUCUCAGAAUACAGUUUUUGGGGGAGCUCAUGGAAAAAGGCUAUAACAAUAACUAUCCCUUUAGAGUUUGACACAUUUGAAGAGAUAGUAUUUGUAGCAGAAGCUGUAUGAAAAUUGCAUGAAAUUAUGUUUCAUUAAAUUCUUCUGAAGUAUUUUUUUUAUUUCCUUUGAACUAUCUUUUCAAUUUACCUGCCUUUUGUAGAAUGUUGCAUUUGCUUCUAAUUUCUGCUGCUAGCGCUAGUUUAGAAAGAAUAGCACAGAAUUUAUAGCCUGCAGAACUUUGAUAUACUGUGGAUAUAAAAAAAUAUUGUAAGAGCAUGGCACUACUUAGCAAAGCUUAUUGAGCGCUCUUCUGAAAGUAAUCUUUUCCAAAAUUUGAUUGCACUUUGUUUAAUGGAAAAAUAACCUGUAUUCUUAAUACUUCUUUUUGCUAGGACAACUAUAUUCUGUAAGAUGUUUUCAGGAACUAAAAAUCACAUUUCAGGUCUCUUCAGUCUGUUCAUCUGCCUGAGUUUUAAAUAUGGGUGCUUCAGUAGUAGUUUUCUAGGCAUCGUGGUGUUCAUGCUAGUCUGAGCACUAGUAUGUACUAGUACUUCUUUUGUUCCGAGCAUGUACUACUCUUAAUAUUCUAAAUGAUAGAAAUUUAGCUGAAAAUAACCAGACGUUCUGUCUUAAAGAAAAGAUCUGUAAGUUGAUGGAUCUGAAUUUGAUGGUUUUAAUCAAUGUGCUUGCUUAUUCUAAUUCUCAUUUCCCUAUAUGUUUAACUGUACAGGUUCUUUUUGAGCUAUAUUUAAAGAAGCAAAAAUCCAAGCAAGUUAAAGUUGUGUAGGAGAAGGAUUCUUUCCAGAAUGUAGAAAAAUGCAGAAUGUUUUGGAAAAUCUGAGAAUUUAGAUGGAGAAGCUGUCUGAUGAAAUGCAAGAAUAGAAAG
rnacentral:lncRNA from 1 species